rnacentral:misc_RNA from 1 species
UUAAGUUCAGCGGGUAUCCCUACCUUAUCCGAGGUCAACCUUAGAUUUGCGCGAAGGCGCGUGUUUGACAGCUACCUGAGGUCGGUCCCCAGCGAGUUAAUUUCUACUACGCUAGAAUGCCGUUCUCUCAGCCGCUGAUGACUUUGAGGCCCGCCCACGUGGAGACAGAGGCCCAAUACCAAGCAGAGCUUGACGGUUGU